AUUGAACGCUGGCGGCAGGCCUAAUACAUGCAAGUCGAACGAGUGGCGGACGGGUGAGUAAUGUCUGGGAAACUGCCCGAUGGAGGGGGAUAACUAGUGGAAACGGUAGCUAAUACCGCAUACCAUCGGAUGUGCCCAGGUGGGAUUAGCUAGUAGGUGGGGUAACGGCUCACCUAGGCGACGAUCCCUAGCUGGUCUGAGAGGCUGACCAGCCACACUGGAACUGAGACACGGUCCAGACUCCUACGGGAGGCAGCAGUAGGGAAUAUUGCGCAAUGGGCGCAAGUCUGAUGCAGCAAUGCCGCGUGAAUGAAGAAGGCCUUCGGGUUGUAAAGUACUUUCAGCGGGGAGGCGGUACUCGCAGAAGAAGCACCGGCUAACUCCGUGCCAGCAGCCGCGGUAAUUC
rnacentral:rRNA from 1 species